GGUUCAGGAUGAACGCUAGCGGCAGGCUUAACACAUGCAAGUCGAGGGGCAUCGGGAGUAGCAAUACUUGCCGGCGACCGGCGCAAGGGUGCGUAACGCGUGAGCAACAUGCCCGUAUCAGGGGGAUAAUCCAUGGAAACGUGGUCUAAUACCCCAUAGUAAUUAUGUAAGGCAUCUUAUAUAAUUUAAAGCUUUGGUGGAUACGGAUUGGCUCGCGUGACAUUAGCCAGAUGGUAAGGUAACGGCUUACCAUGGCUACGAUGUCUAGGGGUUCUGAGAGGAAGGUCCCCCACACUGGAACUGAGACACGGUCCAGACUCCUACGGGAGGCAGCAGUGAGGAAUAUUGGACAAUGGAUGGAAAUCUGAUCCAGCCAUGCCGCGUGCAAGGAAGACGGCCCUAUGGGUUGUAAACUGCUUUUGUAUGGGAGCAAUAAGGGCUACGUGUAGUCCGAUGAGAGUACCAUACGAAUAAGCACCGGCUAACUCCGUGCCAGCCGCCGC
rnacentral:rRNA from 1 species